rnacentral:ribozyme from 1 species
AAGAUAAGGAAAUAAAAAAGAAAAAAAAAGACGGAAACAACUGACCUUGUUUUUGCCUGU